CAUUAGGCUCCCGCUGGCACUUUUAUUCCAACCAUAAAAAGGCUAUUUCAUUGAGAAAUAAAGUCCCAUCUCCCUGACGUGUAACUCCUUUCAGAGCUCUUACUCAGCCGCCAGCAAAAUUUAUGUUUCCUGGAUGCUCUCUCCUGGGAUUGCAACUGGAAAUUGGGGAGAGAGGGCUGGAAGUGGGGAUUUCUUUUCUGGUGGGUGGGAAUGUGUUUAUUCCUUUGGUCUAAGGAGCCCGGAAAACCACAAGGUAGCCAGGAAAGAACCCCUGCCUUGGAAUGAGGAGGCCAGAUGGAGACCUGGUUCUGCCGUCCGUGACCUUGGGCGAGGCCCUGAGCCUCAGUUUCCUCGUGUGUAAAAUGGAAGAACGAUUCCUUCUCUCCUCAGAGGGAUGGUGCUAGUUGCAGUGGGCAGCUGGAGGUGGAAAGCACUUGGAAGAUGUAGGGGUGCCAAGUGUGGCCAUUAUUAUGGAGGCAGAAGAAGCCUCUGACUUAGAGGGGUAUCCCGGCACAGAUUCUCCCGGGGAGUGGUCCUCAGCCUCCGUGUGCAUCAGAAUCACCUGGAGGGCUUGUUAAAGCACAGACGGCUGGGAUUAAAACCCACCCCCUGAGUUUCUGGAUCUGUAGGUCUGGGAUGAAGCCCAAGAAUUUGCAUUUUUAACCAGUUCUCGGCGAUGCUGAUGCUGCUGGUCCAAGGACCCCACUUUGAGAACCACCGUUCUGAGAGCUUUGAGAUCUGGGAUGUGGGACAGCUCAGCCUGGGACUUGGGAGAGGAAGAAGGAGCUGGUGGGAGGUCACCUGUGGAGCAACCUGAUGCUGAAGCGGAGGCUCAGAGAAGUGAACUGACUUGCUCAAGAUCACACAGCUUGGGCAGGACACCCAGAGGCAGCUCUUCCCACCACACUCUGUCUCUGGUUAUGCAGUAAUUUGGAGGAUUACUAAGCUGAUGACUCUAAUUCCAGUUUAAGUAACAUUCAAAUACCCGAUGGAGACUUACAGCUGAGGCUGGAAGAGCGUGUUGUGAUGGAAGAAGCCUGCAUCUAAAAUCUGGGAAUUCAAGACCUUCAGCAAGGGAAAACAAUGAGCCUGGAUGUUGCGGGAUGUCAAAACCGGUUCAAGGAGCAAAACCCCAAAGGGAAACUGGAGCACUGGCUGCUCCAGGUAACAGGAGAGAAAGACAAUAAAUGCAUCACAGA
rnacentral:lncRNA from 1 species